rnacentral:rRNA from 1 species
UACGGGGGGGGCAAGCGUUGUUCGGAAUUACUGGGCGUAAAGGGCUCGUAGGCGGCCAACUAAGUCAGACGUGAAAUCCCUCGGCUUAACCGGGGAACUGCAUCUGAUACUGGAUGGCUUGAGUUCGGGAGAGGGAUGUGGAAUUCCAGGUGUAGCGGUGAAAUGCGUAGAUAUCUGGAGGAACACCGGUGGCGAAGGCGGCAUCCUGGACCGACACUGACGCUGAGGCACGAAGGUCAGGGGAGCAAACGGG